rnacentral:rRNA from 1 species
AACGAACGCUGGCGGCGCGCUUAACACAUGCAAGUCGAACGAGAAGGCGUAGCAAUACGCUUGUACAGUGGCGAACGGGUGAGUAAUACGUGGGCGACCUACCCUCGAGUGGGGAAUAACCCGCCGAAAGGCGGGCUAAUGCCGCGUACGCUUCCAUCUUUAUGGAGGUGGAAGGAAAGCCGUGCCGUGGGCACGGCGCUCAAGGAUGGGCUCACGUCCUAUCAGCUUGUUGGAGGGUAACGGCCUACCAAGGCUCCGACGGGUAGCUGGUCUGAGAGGACGAUCAGCCACACUGGCACUGCGACACGGGCCAGACUCCUACGGGAGGCAGCAGUGAGGAAUAUUGCGCAAUGGGCGAAAGCCUGACGCAGCGACGCCGCGUGGGGGAUGAAGGUCUUCGGAUUGUAAACCCCUUUCGGGAGGGAAGAUGGGACGGGCGAACCGUUCGGACGGUACCUCCAGAAGCAGCCACGGCUAACUUCGUGCCAGCCGCCGCA